UACGGAGGGGGCUAGCGUUGUUCGGAAUUACUGGGCGUAAAGCGCACGUAGGCGGCUUUGUAAGUUAGAGGUGAAAGCCCAGGGCUUAACCCUGGAAUUGCCUUUAAGACUGCAUCGCUAGAAUUGUGGAGAGGUAAGUGGAAUUCCGAGUGUAGAGGUGAAAUUCGUAGAUAUUCGGAAGAACACCAGUGGCGAAGGCGGCUAUCUGGACGAAAACUGACACUGAGGCACGAAAGCGUGGGUAGCAAACAGG
rnacentral:rRNA from 1 species